GAUGAAGAACGCAGCGAAAUGCGAUAAGUAAUGUGAAUUGCAGAAUUCAGUGAAUCAUCGAAUCUUUGAACGCACAUUGCGCCCUCUGGUAUUCCGGGGGGCAUGCCUGUCCGAGCGUCAUUACAACCCUCAAGCUCAGCUUGGUGUUGGGCCCCGCCGCCCCGGCGGGCCCUAAAGUCAGUGGCGGUGCCGUCCGGCUCCGAGCGUAGUAAUUCUUCUCGCUCUGGAGGUCCGGUCGUGUGCUCGCCAGCAACCCCCAAUUUUUUUCAGGUUGACCUCGGAUCAGGUAGGGAUACCCGCUGAACUUAAGCAUAUCAAUAAGCGGAGGA
rnacentral:misc_RNA from 1 species